AUACCAUGGUGCGAGCAUGCUGCGAUGUAAUCCUAGAGACAUUCCCAUGCAUUUGGCAUAGUCUCAUCUUGGAGAUACUAAAAGCUUGAAAUCCUAUUCCGGAAGGU